rnacentral:rRNA from 1 species
GACGAACGCUGGCGGCGUGCUUAACACAUGCAAGUCGAACGGAAAGGCCCUGCUGUUGUGGGGUGCUCGAGUGGCGAACGGGUGAGUAACACGUGAGUAACCUGCCCUUGACUUUGGGAUAACUUCAGGAAACUGGGGCUAAUACCGGAUAGGAGCUCCUGCUGCAUGGUGGGGGUUGGAAAGUUUCGGCGGUUGGGGAUGGACUCGCGGCUUAUCAGCUUGUUGGUGGGGUAGUGGCUUACCAAGGCUUUGACGGGUAGCCGGCCUGAGAGGGUGACCGGCCACAUUGGGACUGAGAUACGGCCCAGACUCCUACGGGAGGCAGCAGUGGGGAAUAUUGCACAAUGGGCGGAAGCCUGAUGCAGAAACGCCGCGUGCGGGAUGACGGCCUUCGGGUUGUAAACCGCUUUCGCCUGUGACGAAGCGUGAGUGACGGUAAUGGGUAAAGAAGCACCGGCUAACUACGUG